rnacentral:rRNA from 1 species
GAUGUCUCAGACUAGCCAUGCACGUCUAAGUACAAACUAAAUGAUGGUGAAACUGCAAAUGGGCUCAUUACAACGGUUAUGAUGUACCCGGGAGUUCCGAUGGAUAUUUCCAGUAACACUAGAACUAAUACAUGUCCCUGCGUUUAUUAGUUUCGCACAGUCCGUCGCUGAGUCAUGGUAAACAGUUGAUCGACUCGACGUCCCGGAACAGUUUCCGCCCCAUCAGCUUCGAUGGUUGGGUAUUGGCCUACCAUUGCAACAACGGGUAACGAGGAAUUAGGGUUUGAUUUCGGAGAGGGAGCCUGAGAAACGGCUACCACAUCUACGGAUGGCAGCAGGCGCGCAAAUUACCCAAUGCAGACACUGUGAGGUAGUGACGAGAAAUAAUAAAGCGGGACUUCUGUUUCGCUAUUAUAAUGAGGAAUAACCAAAGGUCAUUCCGAUUAGCAACUGAUGGGAAAGUCUGGUGCCAGCAGCCGCGGUAAUACCAGCGUCAGUAG